GACGAACGCUGGCGGCGUGCUUAACACAUGCAAGUCGAACGGAAAGGCCCUGCUUUCGUGCGGUGAUCGAGUGGCGAACGGGUACGUGACACGUGUGUAACCUACUCUUGUCUUUGGGGUAACUUCAGGAAACUGAGGCUACUCCCGUAUAGGAGCCGCUGCUGCGUGGAGGGCGUUGGAACGUUUCGGCGGUUGGGGAUGGACUCGCGGCUUAUCAGCUAGUUAGUGGGGUAGUGGCUUACCCAGGAUUUGACGGAUAGGCGGCAUGAGAGGGUGAACGGGCACAUGGGGACUGAGAGACGGCCCAGUGGCGUACGUGAGGCAGCAGGCGCGAAUAUGGCACAACGGGAGGGAGCCUGAGGCAGCAGCGCCGCGGUCGGGAUGACGGUUUGCGGGUUGUGAACCGCUGUAGGUUGUGACGACGCUGGAGUGACGGUAAUGGGUAAAGAAGCACCGGCUAACUACGUG
rnacentral:rRNA from 1 species